AGAGAACAGUCGGAGAGGGUAACUCCCUCUUAAGUCAACUGCCGCCCGCUCAGGUCCCGCAGCGAAAGACACUCGUAAAACAAACGUCCGACAGCAAACGUCUCCCUCGCAGUCGCUCCGACGCCGCCAGCACGGGUGCCCGCCGUCCCCCGCGCCGGGCACGGCACCCCGGCAUGUCCCGACACGCCGGCAGCAGCGCGGGACGGCGGCGAGACUCCCGGCGGCGGGGGGAGCCGACGGCCGGGCUCGGUCGCUUUUCGGGGAAGCGGGCCAAGCGGCGCGGGCGAGCCCGGGACGGCUCUCCAAGGAGAAGAAAGUUAUACUGAAUUUAUUGUUGUUGCGCCUGUUUGUGUUUUCACAUCCACCUUCCUGCCAGCUCUGCUGAAGCAACAGGCCAUUGAUUUCCCUCUUACCUUUUUCCAAUAGACUGCUCGGUCUUACUGAGUCUUGGAGGAGGCAGGCGUAAUUCCAUCAUGAAGGAUUACCAGGGGCAGAGGAGAACACAGAACAGUCAACAGCUCGCUUAAAGCACUGUAUGCUAUUUUCUAUAUUUAAAGUAAUUAGUGGGUAACUAUUCUGUAUAUGUGCCUUACUUGGAGAGUAAAGGCAGCCCCUGGCAUCAUGGAAACUGUGGCCGCCAUUGACAGAGUCAGUCUGAACUAAAAAGAAAAUAUUAGCUCUUUUUAAUGAUUUACUGCAAGGUUAAAUUAUUUUUUGCUGCUUGUUUAAUUCAGAGUACAUUCAUGACAAACAAAUCAAUAUAUUGAAGAUCACAUCUCUUUCUCUUUGGGUUUAGAGACAAAAGAAGACUGUAAAAUGGCUGUAAUAUUAGACUGCCUCAAAAGAGCCAUUAUUUCAGAUAAAUCUGUUUACCUAUAGCAUCUAAAUGCCUUUGCCUGUGUUUUAAAAAGAGGCAAAAUAUUCCAAAAAAAAAAAAAUCCAAAAAAAAACCCCUCAGGGCAAAUACAAAGGACCAAAACCACUAGCAUGCUGUAUUUAGUAUUGUUAGACUAUACAGCAGCUAGUUGUGACAGGAGGGGAAAAAAAAAGUCUGGUGCAAGCCUCUAACAAGUGAUCAGGAGCAUCACAAAAGAGUUGUACGCCAGGCAGCUGGAACAGGGGAAACAUUAGGGCAGGAAUUACAAACGGAAGAAAAUGUUGGAUUUCAAAAGGAAACUAGCCAGCAACCCGCCGGUGUGACAGCCCUCGAGGGUCAGCCCCACAGAGAGAGAGGACAUCUAAGGAAAGCGCGGCAGCUCCGGCUCGCUCUUAUCUGAGAACAUCCACAAUGCUGCCGGCYGUACUCCUGCGCGGGAAUAAUGUACACCUGCGAAAACCGACAAAGAGCAGGCAAAUACAGCCAGCGGAUUCACUCGCCGGCUGAGGCAGCAUCUGAAGAAAGCACUAUUUAAAAACACAAGAGGUGGUGUUAUAAUGAGGAAACCAUGGAGAGCGAACAGCUUAUGAUUAUUGACAGAAGUUGAUUAAGAAAUGGAUUAUUGUCUGUUAGGAUGUUGGAGUAUCCACUGUCACCUCUGUCCUCGGUAUCCUGAUGUAAAUUUUUUUUUUUAAUUGAUGUAUUCAUUUGCAGUCUUUAUUUUCAUUGGUACCGUGCCUGAUUUGCAUUUGAAAGUAAAAAAAGGGAAAAAUUAAACAGGACCGGCUGACCCCUGCCAUGUGACAAAGGCUUAGCUUUCUGCCACUCUGACCCCAGUGGAGCAGGGCCAGGAAAUAAAGG
ensembl:lncRNA